rnacentral:rRNA from 1 species
UGGGGAAUUUUGCACAAUGGGCGAAAGCCUGAUGCAGCAACGCCGCGUGUGUGAUGAAGGUCUUCGGAUCGUAAAGCACUUUCGACCGGGACGAACACCCCUUGGCCAAUAUCCAAGGGCCUGACGGUACCGGGAGAAGAAGCACCGGCUAACUCUGUGCCAGCAGCCGCGGUAAUACAGAGGGUGCAAGCGUUGUUCGGAAUUAUUGGGCGUAAAGCGCGUGUAGGCGGCUUUGCAAGUCGGGUGUGAAAGCCCUCAGCUCAACUGAGGAAGUGCGCCCGAAACUGCAUGGCUUGAGUACCGGAGAGGAUGGCGGAAUUCCCGAAGUAGAGGUGAAAUUCGUAGAUAUCGGGAGGAACACCGGUGGCGAAGGCGGCCAUCUGGACGGAUACUGACGCUGAGACGCGAAAGCGUGGGUAGCAAACAGG